rnacentral:tRNA from 1 species
CCUUCGAUAGCUCAGUUGGUAGAGCGGUGGACUGUAGAGCGGAAGGAGAGAAAGUGAAACUUCGUGCUGCAAGCAGGUAGGUGCAAUUGCACUUGCGAGCAUGUUCACCAAUCUCGUCCUAGAGAAAUCCAUAGGUCACUGGUUCAAAUCCGGUUCGAAGGA